rnacentral:rRNA from 1 species
AACCCUUGACAUCCCUAUCGCGAUUUCCAGAGAUGGAUAUCAUCAGUUUGGCUGGAUAGGUGAC